GGGGAGGAGAGUCCCCUCUAGUCCCAUCCCGGUGGAGCUGGAGGCUCCCCGCCGCCCUCCCCCCUUGCCCGGAGGCCGUCUUUGGCUACCGGCCCUGUUUCCCGGGCUCUGGCUGAGGGCCUGGGGGGAGGGAUGGAAUAACGACUUGCUGAGGCGUUUGCGUGGGGCAGCUGGAAAGCCGAGUCUGACACGGUAGGCGUGAAUUAACCAAGGGACCACACCUCUGUUGGGAAAUGUAGGGAUCUACACGUUGAGAAAGGUUAAGGGGCUUCGUAAGAUCUCAGAAUGAAUCACUCGGCCAUGACUGCUGUGCACUUCCACUGCAGCUGAUGCGUGUUCCCCACCAACCUGGAAUGAGAUCUGAGGAACAGGGAGAAGCCUCCUGCAAACAUCUGUGAGACCUCCCUUCUGUUGAGUGCACUCUGCCACUCCUGGAAGGUUUUGUAGAGCACCCCGCAGGACAACCACCCAAAGCUUACGGACAAGUAAUGGGAAGAGCACCAGGGAUGAGUAUUAUAGCUAUACCAGAGAAAUCCAUUUAACAAUCCAAACUUCAGACUACCUACUACACCUGUCAACACAUUCUACUUGAUGACGUAUCCUUCCAGAAAUUUUCAAAUGAAACACAGGACACAGAAGCCUUUCUUCACUACUUUUUAAACUGCAAUUCAAUAGUAUUUUGUUUUUGUUUGCUACACACAUACAAGCCUGUCUUUUUAACAUAAAAUUAUGAUGGAAAGACACAAGAGUAGCAAUAUGCUAAAUUUAGUCAUUUUUAGUGCAGCUCAGCUGAUUCACUGACCUAGAAUCUUUCUUCCAGUAAGGGCUCAAUGUCUCAAAUAUAUAAAUCUCAAGGCUCUUGGUCUGCAGUAAAUAUUUCUGAACAAGCCAGUGUAUUUCCAACUAUAAUCCCAAAUUGUCAGAUAAACCCACAGAAGUUCUAUUGUAAUUUUUCUGCAAUUAAGGAAUUCUGUUUUCCUGCACUGUCAA